rnacentral:rRNA from 1 species
UACGUAGGUGACAAGCGUUGUCCGGAUUUACUGGGCGUAAAGAGCGCGCAGGCGGUCGUUCAAGUCGAGUGUGAAAGCCCCCGGCUCAACUGGGGAGGGUCAUUCGAUACUGAUCGACUCGAAGGCAGGAGAGGGAAGUGGAAUUCCCAGUGUAGAGGUGAAAUUCGUAGAUAUUCGGAAGAACACCAGUGGCGAAGGCGGCUCACUGGACCGGUAUUGACGCUGAGGUGCGAAAGCGUGGGGAGCAAACAGG